rnacentral:rRNA from 1 species
UUUUUUAAUUGAAAACUCGUAUGAAUGGUUUAACGAAAUAUUAGCUGUUUCAUAAAAAUAAUAAUAGAAAUUAAUUUUUUAGUUAAAAAGCUAAAAUAUAAUUAAAAGACGAGAAGACCCUAUAGAGUUUUAUAUAAAAUUUUUAAAGUUUAUUUAGAAUAGUUUAAAUUUUAUUUUUAUUUAUAUUUUGUUGGGGUGACAAUAAAAUUUUAAUACCUUUUAUUUUUUAUUAACAAUGAUUUUUGAGUAAUUGAUCCACUUUUAGUGAUUAUAAGAUUAAAUUACCUUAGGGAUAACAGCGUAAUUUUUUUGUAGAGUUCUUAUCGAUAAAAAUUUUUGC